rnacentral:rRNA from 1 species
GGAUUAGAUACCCUGGUAGUCCACGCUGUAAACGAUGGAUACUAGCUGUUGGAUUUUCGGAUUCAGUGGCCAAGCGAAAGUGAUAAGUAUCCCACCUGGGGAGUACGUUCGCAAGAAUGAAACUCAAAGGAAUUGACGGGGGCCCGCACAAGCGGUGGAGCAUGUGGUUUAAUUCGAUGAUACGCGAGGAACCUUACCAGGGCUUAAAUGUAGUGGGACAGGGGUGGAAACACUCUUUUCUUCGGACUCAUUACAAGGUGCUGCAUGGUUGUCGUCAGCUCGUGUUG